GCCAUAAACAGUGGCUAAAGUGCAAAUUUAGCUUGGAAAUGUUUUUCAGUAGGCCU
rnacentral:tRNA from 1 species